rnacentral:rRNA from 1 species
GGGUGANUNAUAUAUCGGAACGUACCCAAGAGUGGGGGAUAACGUAGCGAAAGUUACGCUAAUACCGCAUACUAUCUAUGGAUGAAAGUGGGGGAUCGCAAGACCUCAUGCUCCUGGAGCGGCCGAUAUCUGAUUAGCUAGUUGGUGAGGUAAAGGCUCACCAAGGCGACGAUCAGUAGCUGGUCUGAGAGGACGACCAGCCACACUGGAACUGAGACACGGUCCAGACUCCUACGGGAGGCAGCAGUGGGGAAUUUUGGACAAUGGGCGCAAGCCUGAUCCAGCAAUGCCGCGUGAGUGAAGAAGGCCUUCGGGUUGUAAAGCUCUUUUGUCAGGGAAGAAACGGUGAGAGCUAAUAUCUCCUGCUAAUGACGGUACCUGAAGAAUAAGCACCGGCUAACUACGUGCCAGCAGCCGCGGUAAUACGUAGGGUGCAAGCGUUAAUCGGAAUUACUGGGCGUAAAGCGUGCGCAGGCGGUUUUGUAAGUCUGUCGUGAAAGCCCCGGGCUCAACCUGGGAAUUGCGAUGGAGACUGCAAGGCUUGAAUCUGGCAGAGGGGGGUAGAAUUCCACGUGUAGCAGUGAAAUGCGUAGAGAUGUGGAGGAACACCGAUGGCGAAGGCAGCCCCCUGGGUCAAGAUUGACGCUCAUGCACGAAAGCGUGGGGAGCAAACAGGAUUAGAUACCCUGGUAGUCCACGCCCUAAACGAUGUCUACUAGUUGUCGGGUUUUAAUUAACUUGGUAACGCAGCUAACGCGUGAAGUAGACCGCCUGGGGAGUACGGUCGCAAGAUUAAAACUCAAAGGAAUUGACGGGGACCCGCACAAGCGGUGGAUGAUGUGGAUUAAUUCGAUGCAACGCGAAAAACCUUACCUACCCUUGACAUGUCAGGAAUCCUUGAGAGAUCAGGGAGUGCCCGAAAGGGAACCUGAACACAGGUGCUGCAUGGCUGUCGUCAGCUCGUGUCGUGAGAUGUUGGGUUAAGUCCCGCAACGAGCGCAACCCUUGUCAUUAGUUGCUACAUUUAGUUGAGCACUCUAAUGAGACUGCCGGUGACAAACCGGAGGAAGGUGGGGAUGACGUCAAGUCCUCAUGGCCCUUAUGGGUAGGGCUUCACACGUCAUACAAUGGUACAUACAGAGGGCCGCCAACCCGCGAGGGGGAGCUAAUCCCAGAAAGUGUAUCGUAGUCCGGAUCGCAGUCUGCAACUCGACUGCGUGAAGUUGGAAUCGCUAGUAAUCGCGGAUCAGCAUGUCGCGGUGAAU